rnacentral:rRNA from 1 species
UCGGGGACAGUGCAUGGUAGGCAGUUUGACUGGGGCGGUCUCCUCCCAAAGGGUAACGGAGGAGUACGAAGGUACGCUAGGUACGGUCGGAAAUCGUGCUGAUAGUGCAAUGGCAUAAGCGUGCUUAACUGCGAGACCGACAAGUCGAGCAGGUGCGAAAGCAGGUCAUAGUGAUCCGGUGGUUCUGUAUGGAAGGGCCAUCGCUCAACGGAUAAAAGGUACUCUGGGGAUAACAGGCUGAUACCGCCCAAGAGUUCAUAUCGACGGCGGUGUUUGGCACCUCGAUGUCGGCUCAUCUCAUCCUGGGGCUGUAGCCGGUCCCAAGGGUAUGGCUGUUCGCCAUUUAAAGAGGUACGUGAGCUGGGUUUAAAACGUCGUGAGACAGUUUGGUCCCUAUCUGCCGUGGGCGUUGGAUAUUUGAAGGGGGCUGCUCCUAGUACGAGAGGACCGGAGUGGACGAACCUCUGGUGUACCGGUUGUGACGCCAGUCGCAUCGCCGGGUAGCUAUGUUCGGAAGAGAUAACCGCUGAAAGCAUCUAAGCGGGAAACUCGCCUUAAGAUGAGAUAUCCCUGGAGGCUUGACCUCCUUGAAGGGUCGUUCGAGACCAGGACGUUGAUAGGUCGGGUGUGUAAGCGCAGUAAUGCGUUCAGCUAACCGAUACUAAUUGCCCGUAAGGCUUGAUCCU